AUGAUGUUAAUUGCAGCUGAAUGCAGGGUAAAGGCUUGUGUUGUUCUGGGAGUGUUAUUUCAGGUUUAUGUUCCCAAUAAAGCCAAUGUCAGUUGUGCUGAUGGAAUACAACUGGAAUGCAUUUUGGAGAGACAGGAGGACAGUGCUGUGUACUAUCGACGGCUCCAGCCCAGUAAAGGAAUCCUAUUUGCCUCAAGUCCAUGUUCGUUGCAGGGACAUUAGCACCACCAAGCUGAUACAGUGACAUUUGGCUUGUAGCCAUACUUCAGCCAGCUGGGACGUAUGGCUUCUCCCAUGACCAGGGAAGGUGGCUGACCUGCAGCUUUGAGGAUAGCCAGUCCUGUUGCCACUGGGUGGAGAAAUGAGCACCUUCCACGCUCCCGUGAAGAUGCAAUUGGCAGGGCAGAUGUCCUGAACCCAUUGGUGUUUGGCCCAGGUCUCCAUGAUGAUACUUUUCUGGCACCACUUGUAGGUCUGAUCCAGGCCCACAGCCAGCACCGAGGGAUUUCACUGCCCUUCAAACCUCAGAUGUCUCAGCGGUCUCUGACCCAGUCAUCACCUUGCUUAGACCCCCCUUCCUAUCCUGGUGGCAAGCCAGGCACUGCCACGACGUGUCCCAGCACCUCACUCCCUGCAGUAUCGCCUGGGGCUGGAAGACAGCACUGCUUUGGACGGGAAUGAGACCUUGCUAUGGAGCAAACAGAAGCCAAAGGCAGGAGACCACAGCAGUUUCGAGAGCUGCAGUAGCAGGCUAAGGUCUUCCAUGAACAGCACAAGACACUCAGUUGUCAGAGUCCCUUCUGAGGAAAAGACAGAGCCAAAAUCAUGUAAGUGGUCUCACAGAAGUGAUACACUGCAUGGGGAAGGAAAAAUGAGGCUUCUGCUUCAGCUUGCAGAUUGAUGACUUAAAUGCCACUAAGAAAAUCAGCCCUGUGUAAACCCCGUUAAUCGCAUCUCCCUUGGAUUUGUGCCAGGAGGGAAAGAUGUUCCUCCAAAAUGAUGCAACAUCUGCAAACAAUUAGUUUCUUCUGUUAGAGAGUUAACAUUAUUUCAUAUUUCUGCCUUUUUUUUUUCCCUGUUAGAAUAACUUCUACCAUGUGCAGAAAAAUUACUGGAAAACUAGUCUUCCCUGAAUGCUUAGUUGGGUCAUUUUAAUAACACUCCAUCAAGACCAAGAAGUAGUCAUUUGAUUUAAGCAGGGAACUCUGUCUUCCUGCCUGGGAGAGUAAUGCAAACGCAAAGCAAAGAGGGGAAAAGCAGAAUGAAUAAUAACUCAGGCUUUUUGGAGUGGAAAUAAGAUGUUGAUGAAGCAUGCAGUGACUGUGAAGUAGGACAGCGUGACUCAAGUCGGAUGCCUGGUUCCUGGCCCAGAGCUCACUUCUGUGGGGCUGAAACUGCAGCUGCUUUCUCUUCUGCAGUCCUUUCUGCAUUUUUUUGGAAUAUAUAUAUAUAUAUAUAUUUAUAUUUUUUUGGUCUUCCUCUGAAAUAAGGGGUCAUUCUCUCUUAAUCCACAGUAUCCACCUCUGGUAUGGGACAAGGAUUUUAAAGCCCCUCUCAGAAAGAGCAGGGAUUGAGAGUCCUGGUGUCUGGCUGGUGUCCUCACUUAGAGGAGCAGUUUAGCAUUAAGGACCAUGAUGGAGAUGUUACUAAGGGACCACAGUGCGCAUACUCUGUGACCUACCAGUUUACAACUAAUUGCAUUAUAUUUCGCUUUGAGAUAGGAUGGGUAAACACACGGCCUACAAAUCCAAUUUCUGUUCUAUAUUUGAUCCUCAGAACAACCAAUCUUCUCUGUACACUGCAAACCCCGUCCAUAACGUUAUCCUCUCCUGAUCUGUUGUUGGUAAUUGGGUUUCCUUCCAAGUAUUUAACUGGCUUCUUUUUUUUACCCUAGUGAAACUCGUAGAUGAAUAAUGCAGGAAUAUUUUCAAAGCCAGCCUAUGCUCAGUUUGCAGUCCUACUUCCUUUUGCCUGCUGUAUUCAAGACUUUUAGCACUUGCUGGUGUUUUUCAUUCAGCUCAGUGAGCAAUGUUCAGAGUCAGGCCUUAAAGUGUGGAGGUAAAGCAAUCUCAAAUGAUGAUCUUUGACUAACGAGACUGAAGGAUAGUGCGUCAGAAAAGACUCUGGUAAAACUCAGUUAUGUAUCUCUCAUGGAUCAGGGAAGCUGUUACUGCUUCUGUAAUAGUAGUUUUCACAUGGAGGAUUUCUGAAUGAGGCAGAUGGCUGAUGUGAAAUUUUCAUGGUGAUUUUCCCUUUCUCUACAUCCGUCUGUGUUGUCCAUGUCAAAAUGAAGCAGGAUACAGAGCUCUUAGAUAACUCCGUAGAAAUCACUGGAAGGAACUCAUUUUUCUAGGCAAGUAAGCAAAUAGAUCUUCCUCAAAAAACAGUCACGAGUACCUACCUUAUCAGGCAUGGCUCUUGAUAUUCAACAGAAGCCUUACCUAACACCCCACAUCUAAACAUCUCCCAGGCUUCUCAUUCAUUGAAUUCAGAUACAAGUAUUAUAGCACGAGCCCAGCUAUCUCCAAACUGUCCAUUCUUUAUUUCUUGCACUAAUUAACAGUAGAUACCUGGAAAACCACUCCAUUUUUCUGAGCUUCAAAUAUUAAACAGUAUUAAAAAUAGUUUGCCAGCUUUGCCAUCUGUUUGAUGUGGUAGGAGCUUCGCUAAGAGGGGAAAAGAAAAUAAAUGUGUGUGUGUGUGCA
rnacentral:lncRNA from 1 species